UACAGAGACUGCAAGCGUUAUUCGGAUUCACUGGGCGUAAAGGGUGCGCAGGCGGCCGUGUGUGUUAGGUGUGAAAGCCCGAGGCUCAACCUCGGAAUUGCGCCUAAAACUACACGGCUAGAGUAUUGGAGAGGGUAGCGGAAUUCACGGUGUAGCAGUGAAAUGCGUAGAUAUCGUGAGGAACACCAGAGGCGAAGGCGGCUACCUGGACAAUUACUGACGCUCAGGCACGAAAGCGUGGGGAGCAAAAGGG
rnacentral:rRNA from 2 species